UAAGGAAUUUUGCGCAAUGGGCGAAAGCCUGACGCAGCAACGCCGCGUGAUCGAUGAAGCUCUUAGGAGUGUAAAGAUCUGUCAUAAGGGAAGAACAACUUUAAUAAAAAUAUUAUUAGAAUUUGACGGUACCUUAUAAGAAAGCACCGGCUAACUUAGUGCCAGCAGCCGCGGUAAAUACUAGGGGUGCAAGCGUUGUCCGGAAUCAUUGGGCGUAAAGGGUGCGUAGGCGUCCAGGAAAGUUAUUUGUUAAAUACUCCGGCUUAACCGGAGAAAUGCAUAUAAAACUACUUGGAUAGAGUUUAAGAGAGGAAAAUGGAAUUCCUGGUGUAGCGGUGACAUGCGUAGAU
rnacentral:rRNA from 1 species